GUCAUACUUUUGCAGGCGUAAAGGUAACCUGAGUACGGGGUCAUUAGAAAUGGUCGCCUAGGUGAAAUUAACCUUUACACUACAACUAAUAAAAUUGAUGACACAUACUGAUCGCAAACAAGGAUUAGAUACCCUUUUAUGCAGUACUCACACCCAUACUUCGAGCACUACCACCCACAGGGACGAAACUCAAAUAACAUGGCGGUAAUUUAAAAUUUUAGGGGAACUUAUCAGGUAAAUGAUAACCACCAAGGUUAUCCUACUUUAUAUAAUAUUUUGUAUGCCGUCGUCCUAAGAUAUUUUAUAAUACAAUAUCUAAACAUGUACUGACAUAAGAGGACAGAUCAAGGUGCAGAUAAUUAUAAAGACUGGACGAGUUACAUUAUAGGGAUGCGAAUUUGCCUGAGAAUAAAGGCUAUGAAGAAGGACUUAAUUGUAAUAGUGUAUGAGUUUUACUACAUGAAUAGAACUUAAAUUGUGCACAA
rnacentral:rRNA from 1 species